GGAAGGAUCAUUACCGAAUUUCUGGUGGCUGCACCUUGCCCUCUCGCUCGUUCGUUAGGGAGGUGCUGUUCAUCGCAGAUUGGGACUGCGUUGUGGCUAGUAGGACCGCACUGUCGGCCUGAACACGUCUGCCUGAGGAUAAUAUCCUAGGUACGGCCCCCGGGCCGUCGCGCGGAAGCUUUCUGGGUUACCCUUUGUCUACCUGUACCUUUGUAGCUUCCUCGGCGAGCUUCUCGCCGCUAGGAACCCCUCUACAACCUUGCAUAUAGCAUUAAACGUCCUGAUAAAAAACCUAAUUAUCACAACUUUCAACAAUGGAUCUCUUGGUUCUGGCAUCGAUGAAGAACGCAGCGAAAUGCGAUAAGUAGUGUGAAUUGCAGAAUUCAGUGAAUCAUCGAAUCUUUGAACGCACAUUGCGCCCCUUGGUAUUCCAUGGGGCAUGCCUGUUCGAGCGUCAUUUACCGCCUCAAGCUCAGCUUGGUGUUGGGCGUCUGUCCCGCUGCUCUGCGCGGACUCGCCUCAAAGUCAUUGGCAGCGAUCUUGUCAGCUUCUCGCGCAGCACAUUGCGCUUCUUGGAGCCCUGGCGGGUUGGCAUCCAGUAAGCUACUCCACGACUUGACCUCGGAUCAGGUAGGGAUACCCGCUGAACUUAAGCAUAUCAAUAAGCGGAGGAAAAGAAACCAACAGGGAUUGCCCUAGUAACGGCGAGUGAAGCGGCA
rnacentral:misc_RNA from 1 species